rnacentral:rRNA from 1 species
UACGUAGGGGGCUAGCGUUGUCCGGAAUCAUUGGGCGUAAAGAGCGUGUAGGCGGCCCGGUAAGUCCGCUGUGAAAGUCGGGGGCUCAACCCUCGAAUGCCGGUGGAUACUGUCGGGCUAGAGUGUGUCAGAGGAUGGUGGAAUUCCCGGUGUAGCGGUGAAAUGCGUAGAGAUCCGGAAGAACACCGGUGGCGAAGGCGGUUAGCUGGGCAGUUGCUGACACUGAGGCGCGACAGCGUGGGGAGCAAACAGG